GACGAACGCUGGCGACGCGCUUAACACAUGCAAGUCGAACGGAAAGGCCUGCUUUCCCUUGUGGAUUGCGGGUACUCGAGUGGCGAACGGGUGAGUAACACGUGAGUGAUCUGCCCCCAACUUGGGUAUAAGCCUGGGAAACUGGGUCUAAUUCCCGAUAGGACUGCAGGGUGGUGCCUGUGGUGGAAAACGAUUUUCUAGUGGUUGGGGAUGAGCUCGCGGCCUAUCAGCUUGUUGGUGGGGUAAUGGCCUACCAAGGCGGCGACGGGUAGCCGGCCUGAGAGGGUGGACGGCCACAUUGGGACUGAGAUACGGCCCAGACUCCUACGGGAGGCAGCAGUGGGGAAUAUUGCACAAUGGGCGGAAGCCUGAUGCAGCGACACCGCGUGGGGGAUGACGGCCUUCGGGUUGUAAACUCCUUUCGACCGCGAGGAAGCCACCUGGUUGGAAGGGUGGUGACGGUAGUGGUAGAAGAAGCACCGGCUAACUACGUG
rnacentral:rRNA from 1 species